GCUUGACUGUAGCUUGUAAUUGAAUUCGGGCUUUUUUUGCGCAGCCUAGGUGGGAGGCAACGAUGAUUUUUUUCCGGAAAAAUUUGAGCCGUUAGUGAGAGACCACUCUGAAAAGGCUAGAAUCCUAAUAAUGAUCCUUGAAUCAGGACAUUUGACAGUUGCAGGUGGGCAGUUUUACUGGGGCGGUAUUCUCCUAAAAAGUAACGGAGGGGUGCAAAGGUUCCCUCAAGCUGGACGGAAAUCAGCUUAAGAGUGUAAAGGCAAAAGGGAGCUUGACUGCAAGACCUACAAGUCGAGCAGGGGCGAAAGCCGGCCUUAGUGAUCCGACGGUACCACGUGGAAGGGCCGUCGCUCAACGGAUAAAAGUUA
rnacentral:rRNA from 1 species